rnacentral:rRNA from 1 species
UGGGGAAUCUUGCACAAUGGGCGAAAGCCUGAUGCAGCAACGCCGCGUGCGGGAAGACAGCCCUAGGGUUGUAAACCGCUUUCAGCAGGGAAGAAACUGACGGUACCUGCAGAAGAAGAUGCGGCCAACUACGUGCCAGCAGCCGCGGGUGACACGUAGGCAUCAAGCGUUAUCCGGAUUUAUUGGGCGUAAAGAGCUCGUAGGCGGUUCGGUAAGUCGGGUGUGAAAACUCUGGGCUCAACCCAGAGAGGCCACUCGAUACUGCUGUGACUAGAGUGCGGUAGGGGAGCGGGGAAUUCCUGGUGUAGCGGUGAAAUGCGCAGAUAUCAGGAGGAACACCAGUGGCGAAGGCGCCGCUCUGGGCCGUAACUGACGCUGAGGAGCGAAAGCAUGGGUAGCAAACAGGAUUAGAUACCCUGGUAGUCCACGCCGUAAACGGUGGCGCUAGGUGUGGGGAUCGUUUCCACGAUCUCCAGUGCCGUAGCUAACGCAUUAAGCGCCC